GAAACAGUUUCAGUACUUAAUCUGAAGGGAUACAUGUUCUUUGUCUACUAAUGUGGACCAUCAAUAAAUAGCAAGUCCCUUCCUCUAAAAGAGUUUGAAUGGAAGAAUAACUCGUGACAAGGGGAAUCGAAUACCCAUCGCUAGAGCCAAAGAGACAACCCGACCCCUCGUCCCUCGGCAGAAUACUUGAAUAUUGAUUAAGCAUGCACAUCGCGAUUACUGGAAGCAGGUCACUUUGUCGUGCAAAAAAUUAUUACGAGCAAGAAAAAUGAUGUUAGAAGUUAACUCGUCAUUAGAACAUCCGAUCGAUCAGAAUUAACCGUUCCACCUGAUGGUACCUCUCCACGAAACGAUCGAAUCUAUUCUUCGACUUCUAAAACCAUUAUCCACGGCGUAAGAACCGACCAGACUGCAUGCUAUUUGGUUUACGAUCAGCUUUUCAAGGAUCAACCUUCUCGACUCAUUGUUCCGCCGCGGUCUGGCCUACUUCCAGAAUGAUCAGCCGAGUGGCGGAGAGCUCGUUCCUGUUUUCAGCGUGGAAUUUAGUUUCCUUUGUCGCACUGUUACGUCUGGAGAUCCACUCGAGGACCUAGCUAACUUUUUCGUUCAAACGGAACGCGUAUCGUCACAUAUUCUUUGAAAACCUUGUUCGAUAUUGCUAACAGAGCGGUGACAUCGUUUAAAACGUUACGAAAUACCAUCAGAAGCGAAGACAAAAGGAAGCUCUUGUUGUUGAGUGAUAGCAGUAAGCUCGUUGCGUAGCUUUCGAGAUGUCACCGACAGUUUGAAGUCUAAAUCCAGCCAAUUCUCUGGACCAACUCUGCGUGAAAAAAGUUUUUCACGACCAAGCCUGUACGCGGAGGCGUAGACUAGCAACCAUGUGGCCAACUAGCCGUUGACUUCCUCGUUCUUGACCACGAUCAACCACCACUCGACACCGGGUUUACGAUGAAAAAAAGCGACGUAGAACAAAAGGGAGGAGAGAAGCCCUCGAGUUUUUGAAUAUUCAGUAGGUACAUCCUGGUCGACUUCCACCUGACUCUCUUUCAGCGGGGAAAAAUCGGCACGUUCCGGGUCGUAUACGGGCCAAGACAUGCCGACACCGACGCUGAUACAACUUUUAAUUACUUUCCGGAGAAAUAAAACGCCCCCAGAGGUGGUUGACUUUCAUCACGUGGAUCAAGAUAGAUCGCUUACAGAAAGAUGUUCACAGUUUCGUUUACCGACAGAUAUUGGGCAAUUUUAUCAACUGCGGAUACGCAGGAUGGUCGUGAAAUCUUCUUUAUCGAUGGGGGACAUUUAUACCGACAGAAGAUAAUAAUGGCACAUAAAUCUAUCGGUAAUGUCAACUGAAAUCUUCUUUAUCGAUGGGGGACAUUUAUACCGACAGAAAUUAAUAAUGGCACAUAAAUCUAUCGGUAAUGUGGACUGAAAUCUUCCUUGUCGACACAGAGAUAUUUUUAGCGUUCGUCCUUAUCGACGCUCGAUAUCUUACCGACAGAGAACUCUGCCUCGUGUUUAUCAACGCAAGCUCAAAAAAAAGAAGUAACAGCUUUGAAUAGA
rnacentral:lncRNA from 1 species